GAUGAACGCUGGCGGCGUGCCUAAUACAUGCAAGUCGAGCGAACGGACGAGAAGCUUGCUUCUCUGAUGUUAGCGGCGGACGGGUGAGUAACACGUGGAUAACCUACCUAUAAGACUGGGAUAACUUCGGGAAACCGGAGCUAAUACCGGAUAAUAUUUUGAACCGCAUGGUUCAAAAGUGAAAGACGGUCUUGCUGUCACUUAUAGAUGGAUCCGCGCUGCAUUAGCUAGUUGGUAAGGUAACGGCUUACCAAGGCAACGAUGCAUAGCCGACCUGAGAGGGUGAUCGGCCACACUGGAACUGAGACACGGUCCAGACUCCUACGGGAGGCAGCAGUAGGGAAUCUUCCGCAAUGGGCGAAAGCCUGACGGAGCAACGCCGCGUGAGUGAUGAAGGUCUUCGGAUCGUAAAACUCUGUUAUUAGGGAGGAACAUAUGUGUAAGUAACUGUGCACAUCUUGACGGUACCUAAUCAGAAAGCCACGGCUAACUACGUGCCAGCAGCCGCGGUAAUACGUAGGUGGCAAGCGUUAUCCGGAAUUAUUGGGCGUAAAGCGCGCGUANGCGGUUUUUUAGUCUGAUGUGAAAGCCCACGGCUCAACCGUGGAGGGUCAUUGGAAACUGGAAAACUUGAGUGCAGAAGAGGAAAGUGGAAUUCCAUGUGUAGCGGCGAAAUGCGCAGAGAUAUGGAGGAACACCAGUGGCGAAGGCGACUUUCUGGUCUGUAACUGACGCUGAUGUGCGAAAGCGUGGGGAUCAAACAGGAUUAGAUACCCUGGUAGUCCACGCCGUAAACGAUGAGUGCUAAGUGUUAGGGGGUUUCCGCCCCUUAGUGCUGCAGCUAACGCAUUAAGCACUCCGCCUGGGGAGUACGACCGCAAGGUUGAAACUCAAAGGAAUUGACGGGGACCCGCACAAGCGGUGGAGCAUGUGGUUUAAUUCGAAGCAACGCGAAGAACCUUACCAAAUCUUGACAUCCUUUGACAACUCUAGAGAUAGAGCCUUCCCCUUCGGGGGACAAAGUGACAGGUGGUGCAUGGUUGUCGUCAGCUCGUGUCGUGAGAUGUUGGGUUAAGUCCCGCAACGAGCGCAACCCUUAAGCUUAGUUGCCAUCAUUAAGUUGGGCACUCUAAGUUGACUGCCGGUGACAAACCGGAGGAAGGUGGGGAUGACGUCAAAUCAUCAUGCCCCUUAUGAUUUGAGCUACACACGUGCUACAAUGGACAAUACAAAGGGCAGCGAAACCGCGAGGUCGAGCAAAUCCCAUAAAGUUGUUCUCAGUUCGGAUUGUAGUCUGCAACUCGACUACAUGAAGCUGGAAUCGCUAGUAAUCGUAGAUCAGCAUGCUACGGUGAAUACGUUCCCGGGUCU
rnacentral:rRNA from 1 species